GGUUAAGCGACUAAGCGUACACGGUGGAUGCCCUGGCAGUCAGAGGCGAUGAAGGACGUGCUAAUCUGCGAUAAGCGCCGGUAAGGUGAUAUGAACCGUUAUAACCGGCGAUUUCCGAAUGGGGAAACCCAGUGUGACUCGUCACACUAUCAUUAACUGAAUCCAUAGGUUAAUGAGGCGAACCGGGGGAACUGAAACAUCUAAGUACCCCGAGGAAAAGAAAUCAACCGAGAUUCCCCCAGUAGCGGCGAGCGAACGGGGAGGAGCCCAGAGCCUGAAUCAGCAUGUGUGUUAGUGGAAGCGUCUGGAAAGGCGCGCGAUACAGGGUGACAGCCCCGUACACAAAAGCGCAUGUGCUGUGAGCUCGAUGAGUAGGGCGGGACACGUGGUAUCCUGUCUGAAUAUGGGGGGACCAUCCUCCAAGGCUAAAUACUCCUGACUGACCGAUAGUGAACCAGUACCGUGAGGGAAAGGCGAAAAGAACCCCGGCGAGGGGAGUGAAAAAGAACCUGAAACCGUGUACGUACAAGCAGUGGGAGCCCCACCACUAAGCCAGUGGUGAACUCCACAUACGCAUCCUUUGCUGAGGAUACGGUUAACGGAGCGAAAGCGACGUUCAACCUCAAAAGAAGCAGAGGGGGCUUAGUGGUGGGGUGACUGCGUACCUUUUGUAUAAUGGGUCAGCGACUUAUAUUCUGUAGCAAGGUUAACCGAAUAGGGGAGCCGGAGGGAAACCGAGUCUUAAUUGGGCGUUAAGUUGCAGGGUAUAGACCCGAAACCCGGUGAUCUAGCCAUGGGCAGGUUGAAGGUUGGGUAACACUAACUGGAGGACCGAACCGACUAAUGUUGAAAAAUUAGCGGAUGACCUGUGGCUGGGGGUGAAAGGCCAAUCAAACCGGGAGAUAGCUGGUUCUCCCCGAAAGCUAUUUAGGUAGCGCCUCGUGAAUUCAUCUCCGGGGGUAGAGCACUGUUUCGGCUAGGGGGCCAUCCCGGCUUACCAACCCGAUGCAAACUGCGAAUACCGGAGAAUGUUAUCACGGGAGACACACGGCGGGUGCUAACGUCCGUCGUGAAGAGGGAAACAACCCAGACCGCCAGCUAAGGUCCCAAAGUCAUGGUUAAGUGGGAAACGAUGUGGGAAGGCCCAGACAGCCAGGAUGUUGGCUUAGAAGCAGCCAUCAUUUAAAGAAAGCGUAAUAGCUCACUGGUCGAGUCGGCCUGCGCGGAAGAUGUAACGGGGCUAAACCAUGCACCGAAGCUGCGGCAGCGAACGUAUCACUUAAAGCGAUUCAGCGGAUGACGAUUGACGGAGCGAAGCGACGUCAAAGCGUAUACAAAGUCGAGUCGGUUUAAGGAUACGUUCGUUGGGUAGGGGAGCGUUCUGUAAGCCUGUGAAGGUGUGCUGUGAGGCAUGCUGGAGGUAUCAGAAGUGCGAAUGCUGACAUAAGUAACGAUAAAGCGGGUGAAAAGCCCGCUCGCCGGAAGACCAAGGGUUCCUGUCCAACGUUAAUCGGGGCAGGGUGAGUCGACCCCUAAGGCGAGGCCGAAAGGCGUAGUCGAUGGGAAACGGGUUAAUAUUCCCGUACUUGGUGUUACUGCGAAGGGGGGACGGAGAAGGCUAUGUUGGCCGGGCGACGGUUGUCCCGGUUUAAGCGUGUAGGCUGGUUUUCCAGGCAAAUCCGGAAAAUCAAGGCUGAGGCGUGAUGACGAGGCACUACGGUGCUGAAGCAACAAAUGCCCUGCUUCCAGGAAAAGCCUCUAAGCAUCAGGUAACAUCAAAUCGUACCCCAAACCGACACAGGUGGUCAGGUAGAGAAUACCAAGGCGCUUGAGAGAACUCGGGUGAAGGAACUAGGCAAAAUGGUGCCGUAACUUCGGGAGAAGGCACGCUGACACGUAGGUGAAGUGAUUUACUCAUGGAGCUGAAGUCAGUCGAAGAUACCAGCUGGCUGCAACUGUUUAUUAAAAACACAGCACUGUGCAAACACGAAAGUGGACGUAUACGGUGUGACGCCUGCCCGGUGCCGGAAGGUUAAUUGAUGGGGUCAGCGCAAGCGAAGCUCCUGAUCGAAGCCCCGGUAAACGGCGGCCGUAACUAUAACGGUCCUAAGGUAGCGAAAUUCCUUGUCGGGUAAGUUCCGACCUGCACGAAUGGCGUAAUGAUGGCCAGGCUGUCUCCACCCGAGACUCAGUGAAAUUGAACUCGCUGUGAAGAUGCAGUGUACCCGCGGCAAGACGGAAAGACCCCGUGAACCUUUACUAUAGCUUGACACUGAACAUUGAGCCUUGAUGUGUAGGAUAGGUGGGAGGCUUUGAAGUGUGGACGCCAGUCUGCAUGGAGCCGACCUUGAAAUACCACCCUUUAAUGUUUGAUGUUCUAACGUGGACCCGUGAUCCGGGUUGCGGACAGUGUCUGGUGGGUAGUUUGACUGGGGCGGUCUCCUCCUAAAGAGUAACGGAGGAGCACGAAGGUUGGCUAAUCCUGGUCGGACAUCAGGAGGUUAGUGCAAUGGCAUAAGCCAGCUUGACUGCGAGCGUGACGGCGCGAGCAGGUGCGAAAGCAGGUCAUAGUGAUCCGGUGGUUCUGAAUGGAAGGGCCAUCGCUCAACGGAUAAAAGGUACUCCGGGGAUAACAGGCUGAUACCGCCCAAGAGUUCAUAUCGACGGCGGUGUUUGGCACCUCGAUGUCGGCUCAUCACAUCCUGGGGCUGAAGUAGGUCCCAAGGGUAUGGCUGUUCGCCAUUUAAAGUGGUACGCGAGCUGGGUUUAGAACGUCGUGAGACAGUUCGGUCCCUAUCUGCCGUGGGCGCUGGAGAACUGAGGGGGGCUGCUCCUAGUACGAGAGGACCGGAGUGGACGCAUCACUGGUGUUCGGGUUGUCAUGCCAAUGGCACUGCCCGGUAGCUAAAUGCGGAAGAGAUAAGUGCUGAAAGCAUCUAAGCACGAAACUUGCCCCGAGAUGAGUUCUCCCUGAGACUUA
rnacentral:rRNA from 1 species